UCCUCUGUGGCGCAACUGGUUAGCGCGUUCGACUGUUAUACGUCAAUGUCACAGUUCAAUCGAGAGGUUCCUGGUUCAAGUCCAGGCGGAGGAG
rnacentral:tRNA from 1 species